GUUGGAGCGCUCCGAGCCCGGCCGGAACCAUGCCCCGCAAGAUUGAGGAGAUCAAGGACUUCCUGCUCACAGCCAGGAGGAAGGACGCCAAGUGUGAGUGUGGGGCUGCUGGAGCCCCCCGGGGGGGACCCGGUGUCCCGGCGGAGCUCCUGGGGCUGGGGGCGCUGCGGGACGCCCGGUGCCGGGUGCAGUGACGGUGGUUUGAAGCGGUUUGCUCGGUGUUGGCGUGUGCCUGAGGCCGCGCUGGGCAGGGGGAUGCUGUGGGGCAGGACUCGGGUUCUCCAGGCCUGGCUGAUCACCCCGGGGGGGUUCAGCCAAGCCCCAGCUUGGAAGCUGGUUUCCAGCCGCUCCAUCCCUGGCUCGCUGCAGCCUUCGCAGCCCGCAGGGUGCCAGGCGCUCGCGGCUCUGCCACAGCGACAAGGGGAUCCUGCUCGAACCUGGCCUUCCUUGUCUUGCACGUACAGAGGUGGUGAUGGCUGAAGCUCUGACACUGCCUCAGCUCAGCACUUAACCGCGUGUGACGAGGUUUCCCUCUUCUCUCGCCUGUUUGGAUCCGACUGGCACACGGAAGAGUCACCUUCAUGCUUAAAUCCUUUUGUUAACCCACCAACGUGGCUGAGAGGAGAGUUCCACACUGAAACGCUGAGGGAGCUGCUGGCAGCCCCUCACAGAGCGUUCCUGUGCUGUUCCACUUGGAUUUCCCAGCGGCUCCAGCCGAGUGGCUCGGAUAAACUGGCUUUUGGGGAGCUCUGUGCGUGGAGCUGGGGAGCUGCAGUGUGGAAACGGGCAAUGGAGUCAGGGUUUCAUGUUGGUGGUUGUAAAACCAGCCUCAAAAUGAAGCCGUCGGCGCCGAGGAGGCUGGGGCUGAGCCCUUGGCUGUUCACCUCCUUGUUGGUGCAGCAAAACCCACUUAAUUUGGGGGUUUCACAGUGCAGGGGGCCAGGGGGAGCUGGGCUGGGGUGGCUCCGUCCUGCUGAGCUCUUCUGACCCUGCAGCCGUCAAGAUCAAGAAGAACAAGGACAACGUGAAGUUCAAGGUGCGCUGCAGCCGGUAUCUCUACACCCUGGUCAUCACCGACAAGGAGAAGGCCGAGAAGCUGAAGCAGUCGCUGCCGCCAGGUUUGGCCGUUAAGGAGCUGAAAUGAGCCGAGAAAUGGGACGUUUCAGUGUUUGUUACAAUAAAUAAACCCGACUGUUCCGCA
ensembl:lncRNA